GUCUCUAAUGCUCUAGAACUACUUUGUUAUGACAACAAGGACCCUAUGGGAGUUCAGAUAAUUCUACAACAAUUGUAUUUGCAGCUAUUCUCCAGAAGAUUCCUUGUCCAUAGGGGCAGAUUGCUACAGAAGCCAGAGUAGUGAUAGAGACCAAAAACCAAAGUAAAAAAGGAUAGGAAAUCCAAAAAGGAAAAAGAAUUAAUGAAAUCUAUAUCUUAAUGUCAUCCUUCAAAAGGACAACCUGACUUUUGUUGCCUGUCAGAAGAAAAAGAGAUAGAAGAGAAGCUCAAGAAGAAUGACAGAUCCCUUUCUUUAAAUGAUACAUAUGGAAAACCAACAUGGAAGGCCACUAGAAGAUACCCCAGAUAAGGAAACUCCUGCUGAGAAAAGUUGCAUAAUUUCCCUGAAAUCCUCGAAAUUCAGCAAAUAUCUAAACAGGAUUUGAAAUACAGGCUUGACAGAGGCACUGGACUAAAUAUGCAGAAGAAGAUGCACUUUUGGACAUAGCUAAUGCAAGAGAGGGGCAGGAAGAGGGGAUUUAGAGGGGAGAAAAAAUAAAUGUCUGUUGAAAAUAGAGCUAAUUUCAGAACUGAGGAGGUGAUAAUAAUAAGUGUUCUGCCUCCAUAUCUGAGUUACCCAUGAGAAUAAAACUGGAAACUAUUUAAAGAUUUUGUUCUUCUGUUUUUCUACCAAUGGGAGGAGGUAGAAGAGAGAAAAUAGAUUUGUUUUUAAAAUAAUUUUUAAAAAUAGUGUAUGUAAAGCAUUUAAUAAUCACCUAUUAUUAUGAUUCAUAAAUAAUGGAUGCAUAAUAGCCAUCUUCAAAAGCGGAAUUGGGAUUAAGAAUGCA